ACCAGGCAUGGUGGUGUAGGCCUGUAAUCCUAGCAACUGAGGAGGUUGAGGCCAGAGGAUCAUAAGUUCAAGGCCAUGCUCAGCAACUCAGCUAAGCCCUCAAUAACUUAGUGAGACCCUGUCUCAA
rnacentral:sRNA from 1 species